UCCUCUUUAGCUCAGUUUGGUAGAGCGCAUCACUUGUAUGCGUACAGAGGCAUAAAUGAUGAGGUCAGUCGUUCGAGUCGGCUAAGAGGAA